rnacentral:rRNA from 2 species
AAAUUGAAGAGUUUGAUCAUGGCUCAGAUUGAACGCUGGCGGCAGGCCUAACACAUGCAAGUCGAACGGUAACAGGAAGCAGCUUGCUGUUUCGCUGACGAGUGGCGG